UACAGAGGUCCCAAGCGUUGUUUGGAUUCAUUGGGCGUAAAGGGUGUGUAGGUGGCGCGCUAAGUCGGGUGUGAAAUUUCGGAGCUUAACUCCGAAACUGCAUUCGAUACUGGCGUGCUUGAGGACUGGAGAGGAGACUGGAAUUUACGGUGUAGCGGUGAAAUGCGUAGAUAUCGUAAGGAAGACCAGUGGCGAAGGCGGGUCUCUGGACAGUUCCUGACGCUGAGGCACGAAGGCCAGGGGAGCAAACGGG
rnacentral:rRNA from 1 species